CGGGUGAGUAACGCGCGAGGAACCUGCCUCAAAGAGGGGACAACAGUUGGAAACGACUGCUAAUACCGCAUAAGCCCACAGCUCGGCAUCGAGCAGAGGGAAAAGGAGUGAUCCGCUUUGAGAUGGCCUCGCGUCCGAUUAGCUAGUUGGUGAGGUAACGGCCCACCAAGGCGACGAUCGGUAGCCGGACUGAGAGGUUGAACGGCCACAUUGGGACUGAGACACGGCCCAG
rnacentral:rRNA from 1 species